rnacentral:lncRNA from 1 species
ACACACACCACUUGCACCACUUGCAUGCUUUAUGUCAAACUUACAAAUCAACACACACACAUCACUCCAUUUAUCUCUAAAACUGGCCACUCCCUCAAUGGGAGUACUUUUGGGGCUUUUAUGCAAUUACAUAAAGUUUUGAUACUUUUUUGUAUUUGCACUUUGGCCCAAAAGUUUACGUUUUUACGUAAAGGCCCAAAAUCAUUAAAGGACAAAUUGUUUUGUUCCUUUAAUGAAGUUUUUCAAUUUGUUGAAAUUUUUGGGUUCUAGUUGUAAUUACAUGAAGUAGUGGACUUUUGUGUUUUUACAAAAUGAGCUCAAAAGUUUAAGUUUUGCAACAUAGCCCAAAAAGUUGAUGUUAUUGCAUUUUGGCCCAAAUUAGGUUGAGAACAUUAUGGUUUUGUCUCUUUAAAUGAGAAUUGGAUUUUCAUUUCAUUUAGCUCUAUUUAAAUCAAUUCUAUGGAUACAAAAACCAAAUGAAAAUGUUGCAUUCAAGUUUAAUUAGUUAAAGCGUUAAUUAAUUAAAGAAAGGGUGAUUAUGAACCUAAGCCUAUUAUAAUUGAGUUAUGAGAAAGGCCGUUUCAAAUUUGUUUGAACCAUGGGAAUGUGUAGAUUAGAUUUUGGUUGUAAUUUGAUUUGAUCAAAUGUUGUAAAAGAGCAUAAGCUCUUCUUUACUUUAAAGUAAUUUGUUUUAUUCAAAUGUUGUAAAGAGCAUAAGCUCAUCUUUACUUUGAAGUACUCCUCUCUUGUAUUAUUUGAUAUGCAUGAAAAUGGAGUAGAGGGUCCAACGCCCCUAAGACAACACGCCUUAAUGUGAUUAAACGCGUAACUAAAAUCAAUCACCAUCCCUAGACCGAGAUCCAACACUAGGCUCGUGUUGAAUCUAAACAAAGGUUCAUAGUCAUCCUAAGGCCCUAAGGCCCUAAGGCAACUAUAUAGUCCAUCAAAUGAAUGCAAAGUUUAUGUUAGUAGUAUCAUAUACUCUUGCUUUAAAAACCGUUUUAUAAGCAUAGUGGGAGUAUUAUAUACAACUAAAAACAAUCAAAUGGACCAAUAGUUGUAAUAGGACCAAAUUGUUUUAAUAAGAUUAAAAUGUAUGUUUAUAUGUGAUGAGACCUAAAACCCUCAACCAAACCAUUAUUAAGUUGAUAAGCGAGAGAUCCUUUGAACAUCUCUUCGUAGGCCUUCCACCAUGGUGGGCUUCAAUCGUUUGUGACUCAUACACCGUAUUCGUCCAGUUCUAGGGUAUGCAAAGUAUGUGCUUACAUUCAGGAGAAGCCUAUAAACAUAUGAUGAAGUGAA